CUUGGUCAUUUAGAGGAAGUAAAAGUCGUAACAAGGUUUCCGUAGGUGAACCUGCGGAAGGAUCAUUACCGAAUUGUCAACAAGGGUUGUUGCUGGCCCCUGUAUGGGGGGCAUGUGCACACUCUGUUUACACAUCCAUUCACACCUGUGCACCCUCUGUAGUUCUAUGGCCUGGGGGGCCCUGUCCYCCUGCUGUGGUCCUAUGUCUUUACACACACACACCGAAAUAAAGUCUAACGGAAUGUAUGUCGCGUUUAACGCAAUGAAAUACAACUUUCAGCAACGGAUCUCUUGGCUCUCGCAUCGAUGAAGAACGCAGCGAAAUGCGAUAAGUAAUGUGAAUUGCAGAAUUCAGUGAAUCAUCGAAUCUUUGAACGCACCUUGCGCCCUUUGGCUAUUCCGAAGGGCAUGCCUGUUUGAGUAUCAUGAACAUCUCAACUCUCAUGGCUUGCCAUGAUGAGCUUGGACUUUGGAGGUCUUGCUGGCCUGUGGUCAGCUCCUCUCAAAUGAAUUAGCCUGCCGGUGUUUGGUGGGAUCACAGGUGUGAUAACUAUCUACGCUUGUGGUUUUCCACCAGGUAACCCUCAGCAAUGGAGGUUCACCGAAA
rnacentral:rRNA from 1 species